GUUAAUCGGAAUUACUGGGCGUAAAGCGCGCGUAGGCGGUUUAGCAAGUUGAAUGUGAAAGCCCUGGGCUCAACCUAGGAACUGCAUUCAAAACUACUAAGCUAGAGUACGAGAGAGGAGAGUAGAAUUUCUGGUGUAGCGGUGAAAUGCGUAGAUAUCAGAAGGAAUACCAAUGGCGAAGGCAGCUCUCUGGCUCGUCACUGACGCUAAGGUGCGAAAGCGUGGGUAGCAAACAGGAUUAGAUACCCUGGUAGUCCACGCCGUAAACGAUGAGAACUAGCCGUUGGGCAGAAUUUAACUGUUCAGUGGCACAGCUAACGCAUUAAGUUCUCCGCCUGGGGAGUACGGCCGCAAGGCUAAAACUCAAAUGAAUUGACGGGGGCCCGCACAAGUGGUGGAGCAUGUGGUUUAAUUCGAUGCAACGCGAAGAACCUUACCUACCCUUGAAAUCCAGCGAAGUUUUCAGAGAUGAGAAUGUGCCUUCGGGAACGCUGUGACAGGUGUUGCAUGGCUGUCGUCAGCUCGUGUCGUGAGAUGUAUGGUUAAGUCCAGUAACGAGCGCAACCCCUAUCCUUAUUUGCCAGCGCGUAAAGGCGGGAACUAUAGGGAGACUGCCGGGUGAAACCCGGAGGAAGGCGGGGACGAGGUCAAGUCAUCAUGGCCCUUAUGGGUAGGGCUACACACGUGCUACAAUGGGAAGUACAGAGGGACGCUAAAGCGCGAGCUGGAGCUAAACCCUUAAAACUUUUCUUAGUCCGGAUUGGAGUCUGCAACUCGACUCCAUGAAGUCGGAAUCACUAGUAAUCGCGAAUCAGAAUGUCGCGGUGAAUACGUUCUCGGGCCUUGUACACACCGCCCGUCACAUCAUGGAAGUGGGUUGCACCAGAAGUGGUUUGUCUAACCUUUGGAAGACGAUCACCACGGUGUGAUUCAUGACUGGGAUGAAGUCGUAACAAGGUAGCCCUAGGG
rnacentral:rRNA from 1 species